UAUCCAACCUGCCGAUAACUCGGGAUAGCCUUUCGAAAGAAAGAUUAAUACCCGAUGGCAUAAUAGAACCGCAUGGUUUGAUUAUUAAAGAAAUUUCGGUUAUCGAUGGGGAGUGCGUUCCAUUAGGCAGUUGGUGGGGUAAGUGGCCCCACCAAACCUUCGAUGGAUAGGGGUUCUGAGAGGAAGGUCCCCCCACAUUGGAACUGAGACACGGUCCAAAUUCCUACGGGAGGCAGCAUG
rnacentral:rRNA from 1 species